AUUGAACGCUGGCGGCGGGCCUAACACAUGCAAGUCGAACGAGUGGCGGACGGGUGAGUAAUGUCUGGGAAACUGCCUGAUGGAGGGGGAUAACUACUGGAAACGGUAGCUAAUACCGCAUACCAUCGGAUUUGCCCAGAUGGGAGUGGCUAGUAGGUGGGGUAAAGGCUCACCUAGGCGACGCUCCCUAGCUGGUCUAGGAGGUUGACCGGCACUACUGGAACUGGGACACGGGCCAGAUUCUGACGGGAGGCAGCAGUGGGGAAUAUUGCACAAUGGGCGAAAGCCUGAUGCAGCCAUGCCGCGUGUAUGAAGAGGGCCUUCGGGUGGUAAAGUACGUGCAGCGGGGAGGCGUUACCCGCAGAAGAAGCACCGGCUAACUCCGUGCCAGCAGCCGCGGUAAUAC
rnacentral:rRNA from 1 species